GUACAACACACGUGCCACAUGAGGGUGCUAAGCACCGCAAAAGAGUCGGGGAGAGACUAGCGGAUUCAAGGCAAAGACAGUUAUCAGCUCUACAAAAGAGGACGAGGAGUAAUGUUUUGAUUCACUAGUAUUUAAAGUACAACUAGGGAAAGAGAAAACACCAUUACAGUCAAGACCCAUGAUCAUGCCUUAAACGGGGCAUCUUCAACAGGACCACAUCUUGGUGCCCUGUGGCCUGGUAAGAAACAAUAAGAGCUCGAAGCUGAAGUCCGAGUGUACCAGACACCUAGCGUGGAGCUGUCAAAAAGGAGCGAAUCAGUGUGGAAGAUCUUGACUGUCCAGCACAGAGCCCUUAGCUCAAUCCCACUGAACAACUUUGGGAUGAACUGGAAUGGACGUUGCGAGCCAGACCUUCUCGUCCAACAUCAGUGCCUGACCUCACAAAUGCUCUACUGGUUGAAUGGGCAAAAAUUCACACAGAAACUCAUUAAAAACUUGUGUAAAGCCUUCCCAGA